rnacentral:rRNA from 1 species
CCGCACGCGCGGCUCACUGACAAGGCCAACGAGUUUAUAACCUUCCCGGAUAGGUGUGGGUAAUCUUUUGAACCCUUGUGGUGCUGGGGCUAGAUCUUUGUAAUUUUCGAUCUUCAACGAGGAAUUCCUAGUAAGCGUGAUUCAUCAGAUCGCGUUGAUUACCUCCCUGCCCUUUGUACACACCCGUA